rnacentral:lncRNA from 1 species
CAAGUGAGGUCCGGGGAAGGUAAUGUAUAUGCAAACCUUAUCCUUACCCCAAUAGCGCAGAGAGGCUGUUUCCAAUAGGCCCUCGACUUGGUACAGAACAAAGCAACCUCAAGAUUAAAAAGUUCUAUGCAAAUCAGACUACAAGAUAUUUGACAAGGGUGAGAUAGUGUAUAAGAAGAAUUCCCAUUAUAUUCAAGACACAGUGAUAAUUUGACACCAGAUUGACCAGUACAAGCAAAUCAAGUUCAAUCAUUUCAAGCCCAUGGCGAUCAUUACUGUGUGACACUGCACAAACAUCAACCCUUUGAGUUUCUCUUUACAGAUACUAUACAAAAGGAAAGCAGGAACCAUCAACAUCACUUUACAGUCCUAUCUCGUGCAAUUUUUUCUUUAUCACUGAUGAAAUCUUGUUCUAUCUUAAACAAACCGGAAUCAUCGGCAACAAAUAACCAUAAUCAAGAGAAGGAAUACCUAUUGGUGCUUCAAUCUCAAAGUAACGAUAAUUAAAAUGCAACGUUGGUGCAAAAACUAACCAGAAAAUCUUCAUAUACACAAA